GCAGAAGUCAAACGGGGCGUAUAAUCCCCUCAUGAUGAUGACCCUGACUGGAGAAGAAGCAUGUGAAUUGAAGCACCUUGUGGCUCUGAUUGGAUAAGCACUUGCACUGGCAAUCAGUGGUGCCCAUAAUCACAGAGAUUGAUUAAUAUUCAGUCUGAAGUUAUACAAAUGCAGCAUAAGGAGCUGAGUGUCUCCUUCACAUACCUAUGGACCAGUGCUGCAUCGCUGUUGAUGGUUAGAGUAAUCAGCUCAAUGUGGCAUGAACAUACAUUUUCUGAAUUUCGAAUUGAGAGUUUUUCUCCCUACUCAAGUUAUGAUCGCAGAAAAUUCAGAGAAGAUAACU